rnacentral:rRNA from 1 species
GAAUGCACACGAUCGGAAAUGUGUGUCCAAGCAGCAAGUCUGAGAACGAGUGAAGUGCUUUUUCUCUCAAGGACAAGCUGUGAUGGGGAGCGAAAUUUAGAAGCGAAGUUCCUGAUGUCACACUGCCAAGAAAAGCUUCUAGUGAGAAAGUAACUGCCCGUACCGCAAACCGACACAGGUAGUUGAGGAGAGAAUCCUAAGGUGUGCGAGAGAACUCUCGUUAAGGAACUCGGCAAAAUGACCCCGUAACUUCGGGAGAAGGGGUGCUGACCGCAAGGUCAGCCGCAGUGAAUAGGCCCAAGCGACUGUUUAUCAAAAACACAGGUCUCUGCAAAAUCGAAAGAUGACGUAUAGGGGCUGACGCCUGCCCGGUGCUGAAGGUUAAGAGGAGAGGUUAGCGCAAGCGAAGCUUUGAAUUGAAGCCCCAGUAAACGGCGGCCGUAACAAUAACGGUCCUAAGGUAGCGAAAUUCCUUGUCGGGUAAGUUCCGACCCGCACGAAAGGCGUAACGAUUUGGGCACUGUCUCAACGAGAGACUCGGUGAAAUUAUAGUACCAGUGAAGAUGCUGGUUACCCGCGACAGGACGGAAAGACCCCAUGGAGCUUUACUGCAGUUUGAUAUUGCGUGUUUGUAUCACAUGUACAGGAUAGGUAGGAGCCGAAGAUACCGGGACGCCAGUCUCGGAGGAGGCAACGGUGGGAUACUACCCUUGUGAUAUGACCACUCUAACCCGCUGCUCUUAGCGAGCAGGGAGACAGUGUCAGACGGGCAGUUUGACUGGGGCGGUCGCCUCCAAAAAUGUAACGGAGGCGCCCAAAGGUUCCCUCAGAAUGGUUGGAAAUCAUUCGUAGAGUGUAAAGGCAGAAGGGAGCUUGACUGCGAGACCUACAAGUCGAGCAGGGACGAAAGUCGGGCUUAGUGAUCCGGUGGUUCCGCAUGGAAGGGCCAUCGCUCAACGGAUAAAAGCUACCCUGGGGAUAACAGGCUUAUCUCCCCCAAGAGUUCACAUCGACGGGGAGGUUUGGCACCUCGAUGUCGGCUCAUCGCAUCCUGGGGCUGUAGUCGGUCCCAAGGGUUGGGCUGUUCGCCCAUUAAAGCGGUACGCGAGCUGGGUUCAGAACGUCGUGAGACAGUUCGGUCCCUAUCCGUCGCGGGCGUUGGAAAUUUGAGAGGAGCUGUCCUUAGUACGAGAGGACCGGGAUGGACACACCGCUGGUGUACCAGUUGUUCUGCCAAGAGCAUCGCUGGGUAGCUAUGUGUGGACGGGAUAAACGCUGAAAGCAUCUAAGCGUGAAGCCCCCCUCAAGAUGAGAUUUCCCAUCACUUUAAGUGAGUAAGACCCCUGAGAGAUGAUCAGGUAGAUAGGUUGGGAGUGGAAGUACAGCGAUGUAUGGAGCGGACCAAUACUAAUCGGUCGAGGACUUAACCG